rnacentral:rRNA from 1 species
UACGUAGGGUCCGAGCGUUAAUCGGAUUUACUGGGCGUAAAGGGCGCGUAGGCGGUCGUGACAAGUCACUUGUGAAAUCUCCGGGCUUAACUCGGAACGGUCAAGUGAUACUGUCGGACUAGAGUACAGAAGGGGCAACUGGAAUUCUCGGUGUAGCGGUGAAAUGCGUAGAUAUCGAGAGGAACACCUGCGGCGAAGGCGGGUUGCUGGGCUGAUACUGACGCUGAGGCGCGAAAGCCAGGGGAGCGAACGGG